rnacentral:rRNA from 1 species
GACGAACGCUGGCGGCGUGCUUAACACAUGCAAGUCGUACGGUAAGGCCCUUUCGGGGGUACACGAGUGGCGAACGGGUGAGUAACACGUGAGUAACCUGCCCACAACUUUGGGAUAACGCUAGGAAACUGGUGCUAAUACUGGAUAUGUGCUCCUGCUGCAUGGUGGGGGUUGGAAAGCUCCGGCGGUUGUGGAUGGACUCGCGGCCUAUCAGCUUGUUGGUGGGGUAGUGGCCUACCAAGGCGGCGACGGGUAGCCGGCCUGAGAGGGUGACCGGCCACAUUGGGACUGAGAUACGGCCCAGACUCCUACGGGAGGCAGCAGUGGGGAAUAUUGUACAAUGGGCGCAAGCCUGAUGCAGCAACGCCGCGGGCGGGAUGACGGCCUUCGGGUUGUAAACCGCUUUCAGCAGGGACGAAGCUUUUUGUGACGGUACCUGCAGAAGAAGCACCGGCUAACUACGUG